CUUCUUUUUAUGUUAAAUGUCAAUGAUUUUGAUGACGGAAUUGAUGGCUUUAUGGCCAGAUUUGCAGAUAAUACAAAGGGUCCAGUCCGGAGCCCGCCUUCUGGGUCCUGCUCUGGUCUGCAGACUCUGGACUCCAGGCCUUGCAGCCAGCCCUCCUGUCACCCGGAGCCAUUGGAUCAUCUUGGCUUAAGGAGAACAGUUUUAAAAUCUCCACCAGAAUAAGUG